rnacentral:rRNA from 1 species
UACGAAGGGGGCUAGCGUUGCUCGGAAUCACUGGGCGUAAAGCGCACGUAGGCGGAUUGCUAAGUCAGGGGUGAAAUCCUGGAGCUCAACUCCAGAACUGCCUUUGAUACUGGCGAUCUCGAGUCCGGGAGAGGUGAGUGGAACUGCGAGUGUAGAGGUGAAAUUCGUAGAUAUUCGCAAGAACACCAGUGGCGAAGGCGGCUCACUGGCCGGUACUCGACGCUGAGGUGCGAAAGCGUGGGGAGCAACAGGAUAAGAUACC